UGCCUCAAGGACACAAGCUUGAGAGCAAUGUGUUGUUGAGACCAUCUGGACAGUAUGAGUGAUUGAACACAGUUAAGGCCUCUAUAUAAACUUUAAGAUUCUGGUAAGCGGGCGCGGCUUUGUACUUGUCUGCAGCGCCCAAGACAAACUGCAUUAAGUAAGUUCCCUUGCUUCUUAAACCUGCCGCCUGCCAGUCUGGAGUGUCCUGCCUCUUUCUUCAGUCUCACCUUGCCCUCCCCCUUCAGGUGUCAGUUUCAGAUUUCACCCAGGAAACUCCCAAGUUUGCAAAUCAACAGCCUUUUACACUCGAAGAAAGAAAUCGGUGCUGGCCUUCCGGGUGCAGAGGCUACAAGACAAGUCCCAGAACAGGAAGCUGGCAGCCUUCACAGGGGUCUUUCCAGGAAACUGCAGCCUCUUCUGAGUCCCGACCAGCUCCUUGAGGAGGUCUCUGGCACCAGAGGGCAGUGGCCAGUGACGCAUCUUCCCUGAGGAAGGAACUGAGUCCCUUACUGAAAUGGGAUUGAAAUGGGGAAAGUGCCUACGCUUGCACCACAACGUGCCAGGUUCUGCACCAGGCAGUGUUGCAGGUGAACGAGACAGACAUGGUCUCCGAGCCCAUGGUGGUGACGUCCAGCGGGGGAAAACAGGGUCAGGAGGACAGCAGAAUGAUCAGCAUCCUGAGAAGAGUAUUUGCCCAUUCUGGAUCAGAGAGAGGCCCUGCAGCACGUGGACUGAGACCGUGUAGGCAGGCGGAGCUUCACAGUGCAGGAGCAGAGGCAAGGUCAUAUCCAGGGAGGUUUCACGACUGAAGAGGGAGGAGAGAACGAGCGAGGAGGUCACGAGGCCUUGGGAUCUGGGGAGGGGUGGGAUGUGGUGUGGCGGGGUCAGGCAGUUCUGAGGUUAUGAAGGAUCCACCCUUGACGGUUCUGGCUACAUGGCAUGGGGGGCGUGAGAGGGGUGCGUGGGAUUGCUCCCUUAAGGGGCUGAGCAGGUAGACAGGGCCCAGGACAAUGCCUUAAACAUGCUUGAAUCAUGCCUGCCCUUUGUAUGGUGCUUUUCAAUUUCCAAAGUACUUCCUCCUCAGCAUGCAAUAUGUUUGCUGCAUUAAACUGAAUAAAGCUGGGUUGGGGGGGGGUUCUCUGUUACAAGUUAUUCCUUGGAAGUUCACAGGUGUCCAUACACAUCACGAUAAUUUCAGAAAAAGUCACUGACUCUGAUGAGGUUUGGUACGCACCUCAACUUCAAUUUUUGGGGUAGCUUAUCAUCUUGGAAUGAAACAGCAGCAGGUACGUUCCUGUGGCUGCACUGGGACAAGGCUACAGUCCAGGCAACCACAGAGGAAUGUGCUAAGGCUGGCUUCCUCUUGGCAAGAAAUAGUGAGCAGGAUGGAGCCGAGAAUUACCUUUGAAAUAAGAGAGUGACAAGAACAUCUUGGCACAGGUAGUCAACAGAGGGACAAUCACUGCCACCAGUGACCUCUCUCAUCUCUAACUCCACCAGCCUUUCAUCUCGUUCUCUCUCUUGUGACAUGUUGAAGUGGAAAUUUCUUGUUUUGGGGCUACUCAGGUCCGUCCCUUCUUCUUUCGGUAACAGCACCCAGAAUUUCCUUUGGGUGAACCCUCCUCCCUCCCCCACAGGCCACAUCUGUGGGUGAGGAUGGCACCAUUGCUGGCUUUGGGGUGGAUCAUGGGACCACACCUGGCCAGUCAGACCACUGAGUCCCUCUAGCCACAGUGACUGGUUCAGGAAUGGGCACAUGACCAGGAUUUAGUGGGGGCUACAUGGAGGAGAGGCAUUCUCUUUCUGCUGCCUUGGACCUUGAUGACGUGAGGAUGGGAGACUCUAGAUGUUAGUAGCUACCUUGCCCCUGUGAGGGUAGAUGGAAUACUUAAAAGGGCUUAAGUGAAGAGAGGUUAACCUCAGGACUAUUUACAGAGGCCUGGGGGAGGAUGAAGGGAGCCGAGAGAGUGUAGUGAAGCACCCAGGGGCUAGCAACAGUGGGCAGCCUUGGUACCCUUAGUCCGAAGGAGCAAGGGGAGGGAACAGUGUUACCAGAGCUGGACAAGAGCUGGAGCCACAGAACAGGAAUGCAGCUGCUGCCAGUCUGACAAGGCAGAGAGGAAGUGGGGAUGGGCUGACCUUGACCUCACCCUCGUCAACGCUUCCAGUCUUGUGCUGGUACCUGCAUUGGCUGGACACAAUCAAAGCCAGAGUCAAACGCAGGUCAGCCCCCAAGAUGCAGCGCAUGGAAGAGAAGGGGAGAGAAUGGGGGAAGGUAAAAGGAGAAAACCAGCACCAAGAUGCUCUUGCUGUCCUAUUAGAUUUGUCAGUUAAGAGAGCCAGUAAUCCUCCUUGUUGCUUUGGCUGGUUUGGGUGUCUGCUCUAUCCUUUGUCCUGCAGGAGUCCUACGUGGAACAUAAACUCACUAGCUCACUCUUAUUGUAGUUACCGGGUAUGUCUCAACUCCCCUACGAGAUGUGAACUCUUUGAGGGCGUCUGGGACCGUCCUUUGUGCUUCUGUAUUCUCAGUGAAGUGUCUGGUGUGUAGUAGAUGCUCAGGAAAUGCUUGCUGAAGUGAAUGGAACUGAGUCCCAGGCAGAGGGAAUAACUCAUGCAAAGGCACAAGGCACGUUCCACCACGGCAGACCGCGAUGUCAGCAAACGUGGGUGUUGGAAUGGGUGGCAUUUAGUUGCAAGGUGGUCGGACAUCCUGGGCUGCUUCACCCCUGCUGUGAAAGCAGAGAAGACUUGAGCUCCCUGAAGAGGAAUUGAG